CUAACUAGGCACACAAUCAUUGGGAAAACUUAGAAACAUUCUAUAGCCUAUUGUACUCCAGAGAGUUUUACGAUCUGCUUAGCAGUCAAGUAGGCCAGACUCUUUUUAACCUCAGCCUAAACAAACGCUUAAAAAUUCAAAGUAGAAGCACUUUGGUGGUGAUUAGAGAGAUUUUAGUUUGACAUUUUAACCCUGAAGUAAGGUUAGGACUUCAAAUGGUGGGGACAGAUGUUGUUUGCAGGAUCUGGUUUCCUCCACAGUCUUUUCUGGGUGUCUGCUCAGACUCCUGGAGACCCUUUUCCCAUGCCAGCUCUCACGCUGUGUCCCAUGAGCAGCUCCCACACUCUGCAAGCUCCAAACCCAGCCAGAUGCCAAGUUCUGCUCUGGGUCGCUGAUCUGCUCUGAGGAGUCCUGCCCUGACUUUAAGGCUCAUGGAGGAUCUUCUGUUCCUAGGACAGCAGGAUCCUGGGGUCUGGGGGCCAGCACGGAGCACAAGGAGCAGCUGCACAUAUGCCAGGCACGUGUGGAUGGAGAGGGGAAGGAAUAGUUGUGGACUACGACAGAGAAAACUGGUGCAUCUGGAAAGGUUUUCACCCACCCUGUCCUGCUUGUUGCACUUGA
rnacentral:lncRNA from 1 species